CCUUCAAUAGCUCAGUUGGUAGAGCGGAGGACUGUAGAUCCUUAGGUUGUUGGUUCAAAUCUAGCUUGAAAGA